ensembl:lncRNA
UGAAUUGUGCAGAGAAUACAAACGUACAGGAUGAAACUGGAAAAGGAAAAACAGGAUAGAAGAGAGAAGAAGAAGAAGUCCAAACACUCCUCUAGAGACAGAGAGAAGGACUCUGAGCUGAACGGCAAGCACAAACCCUCCUCAAAGAUGAAGCCGUCAGACAGUCGAUCUGGAGUCAGCAGCAGCGCAGUGAACUGUGAAGCAGGAGCUGGUGACACGCACGAGGAUGUCAAAGUAGAUCCGGAUGAAAGAAAUGAUGGACAGCAGAAAUCAUGUUCUCCAGAAAUCAACAACAACAACCAAGAGAAGACCCGAUCAAAAAGCAGCAAGCAGCGUCACAAUCAUCAGGAGAGGACUGCGGAUGAGCAGCUCUGUGACGAGGAUGAAAACCUGCGAAGCCAGAGUUCCCGAGACUCAAAUCAGGUGCAGGCAGACGACGGUCCCCAGUGUGAGUCUGUCAAGAUGAAGAAGAAGAAGAGGGUCAAAGAGGAGAAGAGCCCAGAGAAACACGAUAAGAAUCCGCCGUCCGGGAGGAAGAGGAAAAAGAGCAGUUCUGAACAUGAUAAAGCAGAGAAGAACAAGAAGAUGAAGAAAGACGGAGACCCGGAGGAGAAGAAGAAGAAGGAAAAGGGGAAGAAGGACGAGGAGUCUGAUAAGUGGAAGUGGUACGUGUGCACUGGUUUCCUUCAGGUAGUCUUUAAUCAUCCAUUUGAUCGUUUUAACUCGUGUUCAGUUCAUUCAGUCAAUGUAUGAUGAGACUUGGUUUCAUUAGACAGAACGAAUGAUAUCCCAGACUUACAGAAGCUCGUUUUUGUCAC